CAAAAAAGUAAAAUCGGUAAGAGACAGAAACGAAAAAAAGGUCCGUUUUUUCAUUUUCUGAGACCGGAAGUGGUCAUCAGCAAGCGUGGAGCCAAACAGAGAACGGUACAGACUAUAUAUAAUUUUUUUUCGUUAGUUUUCAUGGUCAAAAUGAGAGAUCAGGUGGUCGAUCUUAAAAUAAAUCAAUGUUAAUUUUUUUUUAUAGAGCGUUAAAGUUUUGCGAAGCCAGGGGGCGGGACUACUUGAUUGACAGUCCGGUCCGGAAUGAUUGACAGGUCCUAUGGAGGAGGAAGCAGAGACUCUGCUCUCCUCGUUUGGAUUAAUUCUGAUAUAAUAACUGUUGGUUUAUUUAUCGGUGGAGCAGCAGAACAUUUCCCACAGACAGUUUUCCUGCCCGUUGGCUUGUUUUAACCAGUUUUCUACCUUCGGCUGAUUCUACCAGCAGACACUGAAAGGACUCUGAUAGUUCGGUUCCUCUCUAUCUCCCCACACAUCCACCAACCACUGGAACACAUCUCCAAAGUUCUGCUGGGCCAGCUCAGCUUCCCCUGAGAAGAAGUGCUGCCACCUGCCAGAGGAAGGAGCCUUUUGAGAGGCAGCUGGCAUCGUGAUUGGACUGCACUUUGGUCUGUUCCAAUCCAGCUUCAGCUCCAGAGACGGCAGACGGGACGAGUCAACGGAGGCCGGGUGGACGAAGGCAUGCAGCUGAGUACAAUCCAGAAAACAACAGAGGAGGAGUGCAGCAGCCCAGGACCAGAACAACCAGAGUAGCAUGACCAAAGAACUACAGACUCUUCACAACCUGCUCAAACUCUUGGUACAGGACCUCACCACACGGGUCAAGAAGGUUUCUGUCUCAUUUCUACUCUGAAGCUCACCUUCUCCUGCUCAAACUGCUGACAAAUGUUUCUGCUGCUCUAACGUCUGCUCUCCAGAACUUCCUAAAAACUCUCAAAGGCUCUUCUGCUGCAGGUUGCUUUGUAGAACUGUUCCAGAAAACCUCACUAAACCACAUGGAGGAGCCUCAAGAUAGUCGUCCAAAUGAAACCAUACAAAAACCAAACUAGCACAACACAAACACUAAAGUCUCCUGUAGCCUACCAGAGAACCUCUGAGAACAGAGAAUCAGGACAGGAACUCUUACCUUCUGGACAACCAACGUUGGUUCACAAACAGAAUGUGUCUGACCAAAAACCUCUAAAGACUCACUACAGCCAAGAUAAAGACACAACUCAGCUGCAGCAAAUCCACCAAUCACUGCACACAUUAGCACCAUGUGCUAACUGUGGCUAAAGAACCACAUUUACCAAGACAACUAUCCAGUACAAAGCCCUAAAACACACCAAGAAACACAUUAAAGCCUAUUUUACUGCUGGAAGCUGCAAGCCAACACCUGAAGAACAAACUAAAGCAAUGGAGCCAAACCCGGUUCAGUGGUGAAGAGAAACAGAGGAAAUGUUUGUCUGCAGCUAAAUGAAGCAGGAAGAGACUGAGCUGCUCAGGUGUUCCUGAUAACACCAAGCAGCCACCUGGACAGCCAAUAGGAACACAGCUUACUGGAAGUCCAGAGGGCUGGGUUAGUGAAGGAAAUUUAGUUUAAAGUUGAGGCAGAAAGUUAACAAAGUUGAAAACCACCUUCUGAUACCUGAAAUCUCUGAGUUUUUACACAAAGAACACCUGAACAUGUCAAACUGGUUCCAUAGUAGAACCAUCAUUGUAAAAACAUCAUAGUAUGGUGUGUUGCUCAAAAAACAUUAGGACCCAGCUGUCUAGGGUCGCUGAGGAGCAACACAAAAACAGGACAAACGCUGGUUUCCAGGGGGUUAGAUGGGUAUUUAUUUGAAAGAGGAAGUUUACAACAACACAACAUGUGAGCAGAAAAAUCACAAAGUCUGUUAAGGACAAGCUGUUGAGUUUUUAGAGUCACAUGGAUUGUUUUGACAUUUAAUAACCGAGUCCUGAAAUAAAAUUACAGUUGUGGAUUUCUGUCA